rnacentral:rRNA from 1 species
GACGAACGCUGGCGGCGUGCUUAACACAUGCAAGUCGAACGGAAAGGCCCUGCUUUUGUGGGGUGCUCGAGUGGCGAACGGGUGAGUAACACGUGAGUAACCUGCCCUUGACUUUGGGAUAACUUCAGGAAACUGGGGCUAAUACCGGAUAGGAGCUCCUGCUGCAUGGUGGGGGUUGGAAAGUUUCGGCGGUUGGGGAUGGACUCGCGGCUUAUCAGCUUGUUGGUGGGGUAGUGGCUUACCAAGGCUUUGACGGGUAGCCGGCCUGAGAGGGUGACCGGCCACAUUGGGACUGAGAUACGGCGCAGACUACUACGGGAGGCAGCAGUGGGGAAUAUUGCACAAUGGGCGGAAGCCUGAUGCAGCAACGCCGCGUGCGGGAUGACGGCCUUCGGGUUGUAAACCGCUUUCGCCUGUGACGAAGCGUGAGUGACGGUAAUGGGUAAAGAAGCACCGGCUAACUACGUG